UUUAAAAACACAUUUUAAUCCAAAAAAAUUUUUGAGAGUUCUUUCAUUUGAAAUUGAAAAUUUAAAAAUAUAUCCACAUUGGGAUUCAAACGAUAGAAAAACUUUAGAUAAUAUUGUUUCAAAGUUUGAUGCAACUUGUAAUCCAAAAAGAACUGAAGAAAACACUGAAAAAACUUUGACCUGUGUGGUUUGUUUAGAAGUUGAUACAGCAUCAGUUGUUUUGUGACCAUGUAAUCAUCAAUGUAUUUGUGAGACUUGUUGGAAUGUUCUUAGACGAGAUCAAGCUUUGUGUCCUAUGUGUCGACAGGUCUUGGUUGCAGCUGGCCAGGUGUACACCUUAUUCUGUUCGAACUGUGAGUUUUAUAUAAUUAAUUUUUGUCUUUAUUAUUAUAAUUAUUAAUUAGUAGUCAUCUAAUUUAUUUUGUGAC